AGUGAACGCUGGCGGUAGGCCUAACACAUGCAAGUCGAACGGCAGCACAGUAAGAGCUUGCUCUUACGGGUGGCGAGUGGCGGACGGGUGAGGAAUACAUCGGAAUCUACCUUUUCGUGGGGGAUAACGUAGGGAAACUUACGCUAAUACCGCAUACGACCUACGGGUGAAAGCAGGGGAUCUUCGGACCUUGCGCGAUUGAAUGAGCCGAUGUCGGAUUAGCUAGUUGGCGGGGUAAAGGCCCACCAAGGCGACGAUCCGUAGCUGGUCUGAGAGGAUGAUCAGCCACGCUGGAACUGAGACACGGUCCAGACUCCUAUGGGAGGCAGCAGUGGGGAAUAUUGGACAAUGGGCGCAAGCCUGAUCCAGCCAUACCGCGUGGGUGAAGAAGGCCUUCGGGUUGUAAAGCCCUUUUGUUGGGAAAGAAAAGCAGCAGGUUAAUACCCCGCUGUUCUGACGGUACCCAAAGAAUAAGCACCGGCUAACUUCGUG
rnacentral:rRNA from 1 species